AAAGGAAUAGACGGGGGCCCGCACAAGCGGAGGAACAUGUGGUUUAAUUCGAUGAUACGCGAGGAACCUUACCCGGGCUCGAACGGCUAUGGAAUUACAUAGAGAUAUGUAAGUCUGCAAAGACUGUAGUCGAGGUGCUGCAUGGUUGUCGUCAGCUCGUGCCGUGAGGUGUCGGCUUAAGUGCCAUAACGAGCGCAACCCCUGUUGCCAGUUACCAUCAAGUAGUGUUGGGGACUCUGGCGAGACUGCCGCCGUAAGGUGAGAGGAAGGUGGGGAUGACGUCAAAUCAGCACGGCCCUUACGUCCGGGGCGACACACGUGUUACAAUGGGCCAUACAGAGGGCAGCGAGGUAGUGAUGCCGAGCAAAUCUCCAAAGUGGUUCUCAGUUCGGAUUGGAGUCUGCAACUCGACUCCAUGAAGUUGGAUUCGCUAGUAAUCGCGCAUCAGCCAUGGCGCGGUGAAUACGUUCCCGGGCCUUGUACACACCGCCCGU
rnacentral:rRNA from 1 species